rnacentral:lncRNA from 1 species
ACCACACAAUCAUUGAAACAAAUUAUGAAUCCCAUAGAAAGGUUUUUGAGUGCAUUGUUUCUCUUCCUUGUUUUUCCUUCUUGCUUAUCUAUUGACAUCAUAGCUCCAAACCAAUCAAUCAAAGAUGGAGAUGUUCUGGUCUCUAGUGGACAAAGCUAUGAACUCGGGUUCUUUAGCUCAGGCAUCGUUUCUACUCGUCGUUAUGUGGGAAUUUGGUACCGUAAGGUUUCAGAACGAACUGUUGUAUGGGUGGCAAAUAGAGAUAAUCCUAUCAAUGGUACCUCCGGAGUCCUAACUAUCAACAAACAAGGUAACCUUGUAAUUUAUGAAAACAACCGAAGUAGUGUUCCUGUUUGGUCUUCAAAUGUUCCAGCCUCAAUAUCAAUGACAAAUUGCACGGCUCAGCUCCUGGAUUCAGGAAACUUGGUCUUGGUUCAACAGGAUAGCAAAGGGAUCUUGUGGCAGAGUUUUGAUCAUGGUACAGAUACUCUGCUUCCUGGUAUGAAGCUUGGGCUGGACCUGAAAAUUGGUUUGAACCGGUCUCUGUCAUCUUGGAAGUCCAAAGAUGACCCGGGAACCGGAACCAUUUUCUAUGGUAUUGAUCCAAGUGGGUUUCCCCAGUUGUUCCUAUACAAGGGUCAAAUCCCAUGGUGGCGUGGCGGACCAUGGACUGGACUAAGAUGGAGCGGAGUACCCGAAAUGACCCCUACCUACAUCUUCAAUGUUACUUUCGUUAACAGCGUUGAUGAGGUAUCUAUAUUCUAUACUAUGAAUAAUCCCUCCAUCAUUUCAAGAAUGGUGGUGAACGAAUCAGGAGUAGUGCAACGGCUGUCGUGGAACGACCGUCAUCAACAAUGGAUCGGAGUUUGGUCCGCCCCAAAAGAACCAUGUGACACCUAUGGCCAAUGUGGUCCAAAUAGUAACUGUGACCCGUAUCAAGCAAAUAAUUUCAUAUGCAAAUGUCUACCCGGAUUCGAACCCAAGUCAUCCCAAGAAUGGUACCUAAGAGACGGGUCAGGAGGUUGUGUCAGGAAACCUAACGUGUCCACGUGUCGCGGCGGAGAAGGGUUCGUCAAGUUGGCUCGAGUGAAGGUGCCGGAUACAUCAAUGGCGAGUGCGAACAUGAAUUUGAGAUUGAAAGAAUGUGAGCAAGAGUGCUUGAGGAAUUGUUCUUGUACAGCUUAUGCUAGUGCUGACGAAAGAGGACUUGGGUGCUUGAGAUGGUAUGGUGAUCUGGUGGAUACAAGAACGUUUUCAGAUGUGGGGCAAGAGAUUUACAUCCGUGUGGAUAGAGCUGAAUUAGGUACAUGUCCAAUUCUACUACUAACUUGUUUACUUUUCCUUUGUUCACUUGCUAUGCUACACGUUUUGAUUCUUGAAGAAAUCUCAUAGACCUGAUAAAUCACAAGUAAUCAUUUUGCUUAUAAUUUAUUAGAAGUAAUUGACUAUUUGUAAAAAUGAUUCCAUUAAGCUUAAGUGCACAAAUAAACUAGGAUUGAUGGCAUAGAAGUAAUAAACUAAUUGUAAAAAUGUUUCUCCAAUUAUAUGAAAGAUAGCUUCCUGAGCAAUGUUUUUUUAUUAAUCAGCACGUAAUUUAUGAAUAGAAUGUUUGAUAAGGCCGGUAGGUCAAUAAAAGUGUUGACACGAAAUCCAUUGAUUAUUCAAUUAAUUUUCAUCAACUCAAUGAACUCGGAAUUGAUUGUUUUGAUUAAGUGAUCAUAUUAUUAUUUACUAGUAUAAUGAAUCGAGUAGUUUUGUCACAAACAUGCCUAUAUUGCUGCUCAUAGAAAUGACUAAAACAUUUUUUAACUUUCCUUCUAAGAAUAUAUAUUAAAAAAUAAAAAAUAUACUAAAACCUUUUUCACAGUAAUCCAUUGUGAAUUUCUUUUCUAAUCAUUAUUUUUUUUUUCUCUUUGUGGCAAACUUAACUACCAAUUUCUUAUAAUUUGUUAUGGAGAAACACAGUUGAAAGAUGGAGGCCAAAGUAUAAAAUAAGAAAAAAUUACAUGUUUGGAUUGAAACUCACACAAGUAAGUGUGUUUAGGUACCUAUACUUUUUUUUUUUGAAUUAUAGUCCCUUUAUUUUCUUAUGAUUUCGUUUUAAUAAAAAACUCUAUUUUUAUUAUUUUUAAAUCCCUAGUUUUGAGAGAUUAGAAAGAAAGUUGUUGGAAAACAACCAAAAAAAAAAAAGUUGUUUGUUAUUUAUAUUUCAGCCACUAAAAAGAUGAUGUUUUAUGUCAACGAGUUUUAUUAGAUUAUGAGAGUUUCAUUUAUGUGUAUUUUCCCUUUAUUUUACUUAAAGAAUUAGAUUGGAGUUCAGAUAAUUUUUUCUUUCAAUUUGAUUUUGUAUUUUUGACAAGCUUUUCGGCGUUUUGAGUGGAGUAGUUGGUUUAUUGAUAUUAUAGGAAUGUUUAUUAUUUUUUUGUAAGUGAAAAUUGGUUGAAAAUCAUAUUUUUAAAUAAAAAAAAGACCAGCUUGAUUUUUCAAUUAUCUGUUUGUUGGUUGAAAACUCGCAUUAAAAAAACAGAUAACCUUACUUUUCUAGCAACAUCAAUAACUAGAUUUUGAAAUUUUUAAAUGACCGUGUCGUUUAUUUUAUUUCAAAUAAAAAGGGUUGGAUGACUAAAUCUUUUCUAAUAUGAUUUUUUAAGAAGAUUAGACAGAAAAGCUCUUAAUAAUCUCUGAUCAGUUCCUCUCUUUCUCUGCUAGUAAACAUGUUCCUAAGUUUUUCCUCAAUUUCUCAACAAAAUCCUAACAAAAAGGGCACAUUCAAAAAGUUAUAUUGUUUAGAGAGCAAAAGUUUUUUUAAGAAAAAAAUUAGUUCAAUUGUAUUUGUUUUUUUUUCACUAGACUUGGGGGGUAAUUUAUAAUUUAGCGAUAUAUUUUCUGAUUUCUACUCCCUUUUCUUGCUUGACGCCAUUCCUCUUCUCUAGUGUUGCCUUUUCUCUUAAUAGACUAGGCGUCUUUCUUUAGCUUUAGUUUCUUUUUUAUUUAAAUAUAAAUUAAUUACAAUAGAUUAAUCCAAUGUAUGUGUGGGAUAUGACAAUUCGGUUUAAUUGAGAUUAAUUAAAUAAAUAUUUGUGAUGUUUUGUAAUAAAAUAUUAUUUAAUUUUUACUUGGUAUCCGAAUAAAAUUAUAAUUUUUUUUUUCUGAUAUUAGUAAGUAUUUUUUUUGUGAAACCUUAUAAUAUAUAUAUAUUUCAGUUUUAUUCAAUUAUUUUUAUAUGCUUGUUUACUUUUAUUAUUGUUUAAAAAAAAAAUCAGUUCAAAGAAACAAAUUCGUUGAAGCAACUAGAUCCAUAGUCCAUGUUUCAAUAUCAGAUAUCUUGAAUUACAUCUAUAUUUUAAUUUUUUAAUUUAGUCUUUGAUUAAAUAUUUUUUGAUAUUUUGCUUAGUUUUAAAAUAAAAUUAUAACAUUUUUUCAAUAUUAGUAUUUGUUUUUGUGUAACCCUACAAAGUCUCUUUUUUUUUUCUUCGAUAUUAUUCAAUCACUUUCAAAUACACAUUUGUUUUUAUUAUCGUUUGAUAAAAUAAAAAAUUAAUUUCAAGAAAUAAAAUUAUUAAACAUGAUGAAGUUCAUGGACUCUAAUAUAAGAUUAAUAUCUUUAUCUAUUUUCAUUUCUUAAUUUUUCAGUUCAAUUUUUAGUUUUUAUUAAUGAUUUGUUUAUUUUUUGUGUUUAUUAUCAUAAAUAAUUCUUAAUUUAUUUAAUUAAAUAUAUAUAUGCAUCAGUUUUUUAAUUUACAAUUAAAAAAAAAAAUAUAUCAUAAAUAUGUUUCAAACGUCUAUAUAUUCGUGUUUUUGCAUAAAAAAAUAAUAAUUUGACCAUGGCAAAGCAAGUCAAGUGGCUCGUUUCCUACUAAUUGUACUUGUCUUCAAGAUCCAUGCACCGCAUCGGCGACCAUGUUUAUCAUAAUUUCUUGUCUUGUAUAUAUAGUAUAGUCCAGUCUCAUCUACUCAGACAAACUUAAAAAUUAAAUUUAGUUUACUUAAGUCUCAAGCUCGUAUGAUCCUACGAAGGAGAUAGAAACAACAAAUCAUAGUAAAUAAAGUUUUUGGGGCGAGCAAAUUAGGUGAUGAAAAUUAUUCAAUACUUGUAGUUUACUCUUUGUUUUUUAAUUUCUCACAUUUAUAUGGUAUUCAAUUAUAUGAAAAAAAAUAAAAUAGAAUAGAGAGUAAUUAAAUAUAAAUUUAUAGUACUGAAUAAUUCCAAAUCAACAGCUUGAAAGAUUUAAUUUUCAACUCUUAUCACUAAACAUUUCUUAUAUUUUCAAUUUCAGCUAAAUAUGAAAAGUCAGGACCUCUUGCCAAUAAAGGAAUUAAAGCAAUCCUGAUAGUGUCUGUUGUUGUGACAUUGUUUCUGAUCAUCUUCCUUGUGUGUUGGUUUGUAAAGAAAAGGAGAAAAGGUAAGCAAAUUCCCUUCAAAUGUUGCUCCUGAGCAAUAUAUUUUUCGUAACAUUAUUAAACUCAGGGUGUUGAGUCAGUAAAAAUGCAAUAUUUCUCAGAGAGUCUUGAGCUCAAAAAAAGAUACCUUGAGUUAGAAGUUUUACCAGCUAGAAAUAAGUUUGCAUGUUGAUGACAGCCAGGGACAGGAAAAGAAGAAACGAAUUUCCGCUAUCAACUUCAAGGUCAAAUUGCUCGAGAAACUUACCAAUUAAGGAAUUUGAGGAAGGUACAACAAGUUCAGAUUUACCACUUUUUGAUCUUAGUGUCAUAGCUGCGGCAACAAAUAAUUUCUCAGAUGCCAACAAGCUUGGAGAGGGUGGUUUUGGCUCAGUGUAUAAGGUAGCCUAGCCUGCCUUGAAGUCCCUCAAACACAUAGCAUCACUUCAGUUUACAUGUUGAACUAUGAGAUUGAUGAAUUUGGAUUGAGAUUUUCAGGGUCUGCUGCAUGAUGGAAAGGAAAUUGCGGUCAAAAGACUAGCAAAGUAUUCUGGACAAGGGAUUAAUGAGUUCAGAAAUGAAGUCGAGCUCAUUGCAAAACUUCAGCACAGGAAUCUUGUGAGGAUAUUAGGUUGUUGCAUCCAAGGAAGAGAGAAGAUGUUGAUCUAUGAAUACUUGCCAAACAAAAGUUUGGACUCUUUUAUUUUCAGUAUGUCAUCAUCGAUCAUUAUGUCAAAUUGUCCCUAUAUUGUGGAUUUUUCAGUUUUUCUCAUUCUAUAGAAGUUGAAAAAUGAUUACAAGCCUGCAUUGAUUUGAUGAGAUUUAUGCUUCUUUGGGUACAGAUGAACCAAGAAGGUCACAGUUAGAUUGGUCUACUCGCCACAACAUUAUUUGUGGGAUUGCUCGAGGAAUUUUAUAUCUUCAUCAGGACUCCAGAUUACGAAUCAUCCACAGAGAUCUUAAGGCAAGCAAUGUUCUACUAGAUGCCUCAAUGAACCCUAAAAUUUCAGAUUUCGGCAUGGCUAGAAUAUUUGGAGUAGACCAAAUUGAAGCCAACACAAACCGUGUUGUUGGAACGUAGUAAGUUUAUCCUUAUUUAAUGAAUUAUAUUAGAAAAUAAUAUAAGAUUAUUUUUAGAAUUUUAUCUAAUAAUUCAAGUUUUUUAGAUAAAUUAAUUUUUCGACAUAAUAUUAGAAUUUUAAUUAUUUUAUCUAAUUAAAUUAAUAAAACUAAGAACUUAUACAAGUUUUAAAUGUUAAAAAAUAAUAUAAAAUUAUUUUUAAAAUCUUAUAAAAUUAUUUUUAUUUAUAUUUUUCUGAACAGCUGACUUUAUUAAGCUCUUCUUUUCCUAUGUUAUUGCAGUGGUUAUAUGUCACCAGAAUAUGCAAUGCAAGGCUUAUUUUCAGUAAAAUCCGAUGUAUAUAGUUUCGGGGUUUUGCUAUUAGAGGUCGUCACUGGGAGAAAAAACAGCCAUUUUUAUGAUGAAAGUAACUCUUCGAACUUGGUUGGAUAUGUAAGUAAUAAGAUCACAUAUACAUAUAUUGCCGAUUUUAAAAUUUCAACUCCAACAUAGCAUACUGAUGUGAAAUUUCUUUAGGUUUGGGAUCUAUGGAGAGAAGGCAGGGCCCUGGAACUAGUGGAUACAUUGAUGGGCGACUCGUAUCCUGAAGAUCAAGUCUUAAGGUGCAUCCAAAUUGGUCUUUUAUGUGUGCAAGAAUCUGCGAUGGACCGACCAUCAAUGUCUGAUGUUGUUUUCAUGUUGAGUAAUGACACAACUCUUCCAUCGCCCAAGCAACCUGCGUUUAUUAUGAAGGAGAGUUACUAUAGUGGAGAUCCAUUAACAAGUGAAGGAUCACAUUCUAUAAAUGAAGUGACAAUCACCAUGCUUGGACCUCGGUAGAGGCUUACAUAUAUCUGACGUUCUACUUUUAUUUGUUAAUAUUAAUGUGUAUUGAUAUUAUGAUAGCUUUUACGAUAAUAUUUUAAAAAUUAGGUUUAAAGUGGAAAUAAAAAAAUAUUAAUUAUAAUGUAUGUUAAUUAACUAAAUAUUUGUACAACUUUAAUAAAAAUAAAAUACAAAUUUAAUCACACCAUAUUGUUAUACCAAGUGGAUCCUAGUAGAAGUAGCAUGGUAGUGAAAUAUUAUUUAUUACAUUUCUAAGCUCUAAGCAUGUGGAACCAAGUAGUGUAGUUAUUCUUUAAUUAACCGACAAUGUAGAUAAAGAUGUUUCAAUAGUCUCCCAAUUUAAAUUAUCUUCAUCAAGAAAGCUAAGUUUUUUACAAAUCUACUCAUUUAAUAAUUUAAUGUUAUCAAGGCCAAUGUGAUCUAAAAUAUCUUGUUUUUUUUUGUUUAAAUUCUUACAAAGUACAAACAUUAAAAAAAAAACAAUAUGAUUGUUAUCAAAUAUAUUAGUGAUAAAUUCAAUUUUUGAAAAUAGUAUAUUUACAAAGUAGUUAUAAAAGGUUUAGACAAGACCUAUUUGCAAUAUUAGGUCAAUAAUCAUGCCAAUUGUAAUAUAUUCUUCCACUGCAUGAAGAACAAAAACAUUCAUUUUCCAUGGAGGGACAAGAUGAGGUAAGGAGAUUAGAUAAUAGGUACAAAAUAACUACAUAGAAAAUUAUAAAGUUGUUAUAAUAAUGAGAAACUUAUUGCAUUAAAGCAUUAUUCCUAAAUAUCCUAGUCGAUAUUCUAUUAAGACUUGAUAUUAAUUAGAGUUAUUGAGACUAAUGUAUCUUAUGUUCCUUCCUUUAUGAAAGGAAGAAGUUGCUCUUAUAAACUGAGGUAUGAGAGAUGUAUAUAACUAAUAUAUAGGUGCUUGUAACAUGACAUAUACACUGAACUGACUUGUAAGAAAAUUUUAUAUAGGGAGAUUACUUAUGUCUAUAGAAAGGUUCACGUGAUAAUUAUGUAAGUGAUCUUUAGACUUGAGAUCACUAAUUUAUAUUAUAUAGAGAGUGUUAUGCUUUGAUCCUAACCACACAUUAUCCUAAUCAAAGAUAACAAAUAGGCAAAUAUUAGGUAUGAGAUAUAGUAUUAAAUGAAGGUAUUUAAGUAAUAAAGAGAGGAUUCAUCACUCUAGGUGAAUUAGAAAAAAUAUUACGUAUGAUCUUAAAUAAUAUUGAUUGUGAAACCUUUGGCCAAGAUAGAAUGAGUUUUGAAAAAAAUUUCAGAAUUUUACUCAAAAAAUUAAUGAUUAUAAUGUUGAGAACUAACAUGAUUUAACAAAGCAGAAUAGUUCAUGUUAUAAUGUCUAAAUCGAAACAUUUAUGAUAAAUUAAUGAAUAAUAAUUACACUGCAACAAUGGUGCAGGGUUCGUCAAGGUGGAAAACGUGAAGGUACCAGAUCCUUCAACUGCCCGUGAGAAUAACAAUUUGGAUCUGAAAGCAUGCAUGUAGCAAUGCUUGAGGAAUUGUUCCUGCACAGCCUACGCAAGUUCAGUUGUGACAAGUAAGAGUGGGUGCUUCUCAUGGUAUGGCAAUUUGCUUGAUACAAGAGUGUUCGCUGAGGGAGGACAGGAUUUAUAUGUCCGUGUGGAUGCGUUUGAGUUAGGUACCUUCAAAUCUUAUUGUCAUUAUAUAUCUUUGCUGCAUUUUUCAACAACAGCUUAAACUUUAAUACAACUUAGAUAGAGGAUUUUCAGAACAAAAAAUAUAGACAUCUGAAAUAAAAAUUACGGGUACAAGUACAACGGAAGUACCAGGGACAUUUCUAAUAUGGCUAAACCCUCCCCUGCACUUACCUACUAUCUUUCUGCAAUAUGCACCCUUACUGAUAAUCCUGAUGAUUUGGUAUCGCGCUAAUGUGGAUUUCUUUCUUUCUCCAGCUCAAUAUGACAAGAAGUCUAGAGGUUUUCUUGCAAAAAAAGGGAUGUUAGCCGGCUUGGUACUCUCUAUAGCUGCUGCGGUUUUCUUUGUCAUUAUGUUCUCAUUCUGGUUGAUAAAAAGGAAGAAGACGGGUAAGAGAUUAUUUUUUCAACUUUGUUACCAAUAUAAGUGGCACCAAAUUAGUUGAACUAAAGAAUUCUAACUUUAAGUCUAUGCAUAUAGGAGAUGAUAGUCUGCAAAAUGCAGUGUAAUCAACAUUAGCACUUGUUAGUACUUUUAAAAGCUGAUUUUGAGUUCUUUCAACGAUAAACACAGCUAAGGGCAGACAACUCAAAUUUCCCUUCAAUAUCCCUUCAACACAGCUAAACAAGCCUCAAUGGCUCUCUAAGUGGAAAGGAAGUUGGUGGAAGUAGAACAAGUGAAUACGUACCAGUCUUCGACAUAGAUAUCAUAUUAGAAGCCACAGAGAGUCGAAUUUCUCCAACAAGCUUGGAUAUGGUGGUUUUGGCUGAGUUUACAAGGUACCUUUCCUUGGACAUGAAAUUAUUUCAGAAUUCUAUGUACUUGUAUCAAAAGUUAACAUGCAUUAAAUAACAUUUUAAUGUUGCAUGAUUAGACCAUGAUACUGGAAAAUCGCAGAGGCUGGUGCCAAAGAAAUUCUAACCAGGGAAGAUGAUGGAAAUGGAUGGAAUUAUGGAUAGAUGAUGGAAAUGGAAAGGUGGAGAUGGAUAGAUGUAGGACAGAUGAUGUUCAAUCCUUUAGAGAUACAGAAAUCACCACUCUAAAGUGAAUGAACAAAGAUUAAACUCAGAAUUGUCAAUAAUACAGUCACGCCCCAAAGAGAUUAGAGUUUAGGAUAGCUCACCACUCCGUGAAUUCCACCAAAGAGAUACAGAACUAAACAUAAACCUAACCAGCUCACUUUGAUUUUGGCUUCACCAUUUCUCUAUAUCUAUUCUAGAUUGUUGAACACUCUUAUUUAUACUUGGGACAAUACGUGCAAGUUAGGAAAACAUCAAACAAGAAAUUCUAAAUCUAAACACUUUUUCCAUCUAGCCGAAGUUGUAGUAGACGCGGGACACAUAUCGAGCAUAAGAAAAAGUCUGGAAGAGUCAAACGUUACGGGGUCAGCCCAAAUUAGAUCUAGAAGAUGAUAUUUCAGAUUAUUCUUAAUUAUAUCUACUUGUUUUCAGAUUCCUUUCUACUUAUAUUCAUGAUUUUUGUUUGACUUGAUUUUAAAAGUAUACUGGUCGAUUUUACAGUCUUUCUCUACGGUUUAGGAUUAUAUUUUUUUAAAGUUUACGAAACCUUAAUUCUCUAUCUUUGCUACAUACUUAAUCAGUAGGUAAGGCUGAUGACAUUUAAGAGAGUUGGAGGGAAGAUUGUCCAGGCUUAUUGAAUGUUUAUUGACAAAACCAGGCGCGGCAUUGCAUGCUGUUAAAUAUCGUAGAAAGAUCACGGUUCUGUUGACAGCAUGCACCCUUGUCAGUAAAACAACCAUAACUCUUGCUAGAAAGCUCCGAAUCUUUCACUGUUCGAUGUGUUUGAAACUAGACACGUAUAUCUUUCUAGGGAUACAUGGCUUGCUCAGUAUUUCUCUUUGUGUUGAUGCAGUUAUACGUUUGAAUUUGAAACUGAAAUCUGGCCCUGUUGCGAGCAUUCUUGGCUUUGUUGAUUUCUUUGGGUUAAGAUCAGGCUCUUUUAGGCUUUGUUCAAAAUCAUCUAAUCCAAAUUUAUUAGUGGAUGUAAUUAUGGGAUUUACUAGGAAUUCUCCCGCAUCAGACCAACUUUGGCAGAAUGUGAUUAGCUUAAGUUGUAUUAACUUGUGAGUUAAACAUGGAAUGUAAUUUCAGGGCAAGCUAGGCAAUGGACAGGAAAUUGCAGUUAAGAGAUUAUCUAAAACUUCAGGGCAAGGGAUGAAGGAGUUUAUGAAUGAAGUAAGGUUGAUAUCUAAACUCCAGCACAGAAAUCUUGUCAAGCUUUUUGGUUGUUGCAUUCAUGAAGAGGAAAAGAUGCUGAUAUAUGAGUAUUUACCAAACAAAAGCUUGGAUUUUUUCAUCUUUGGUAUGGCUCUCUUCAUCCAUUUUUGUUUCUGUGUUCAAAGGGAAGAGUCCCCUGAUUAUACAGCUUCACUUUGAUCAAAUUAAAAUAAAUGAUUUCGGGGCAAACCUUUAAUGUUUAAGUGCAGACGAGACAAAAAGGGUGCUCUUGGAUUGGAGAAAGCGUUUUGAAAUUGUUUCCGGGAUUGCUCGAGGGGUUUUAUACCUUCAUCAAGAUUCAAGACUAAAAAUUAUCCACAGGGAUCUCAAAGCCAGCAAUAUUCUACUAGAUGCUGCAAUGAACCCAAAAAUUUCCGAUUUCGGUAUGGCAAGAAUGUUUAUGGAAGACCAAGUCCAAGGAAAAACCACUCGUGUGGUCGGAACAUAGUAAGUAACCUGAUUCUUUCCUCUCUCCAGUGAUCCAUCAUGAUCAAAUACCAACAAGCUUCAUCUUUUAUGAUUGUAGCGGCUACAUGUCACCUGAGUACGCAAUUCAGGGACAGUAUUCGAUAAAGUCAGAUGUCUUCAGCUAUGGUGUCUUAACACUGGAGAUCACAAGUGGCAGGAAAAAUAGCGACUACGGUGAGAGAGAACCCUGGCUGAAUCUUAUCGGACAUGUAAGCGGAUCGAUAAAUUUCUUGAUAAUAUCUUAGGUGAUUGUCUUCCUCUUAGAUUCUUUUCUCGAUUAUCUUCUUACUUGUUUCAUGUAUGGGACUUAUGGAGAGAAGAAAAGGCAUUAGACAUAGUUGGUCCAAUGCUGGAACAGUCAUGCCCUCUUCAUGAAGUUCUUAGAUGCAUUCAGAUUGGGUUACUGAUAGGUCCCAACACAGAUAAUGAAGUGUUUAAUAAAAAUAAUGCAUUGCUUUCUCUUCAGGUGAGAAUAAACCUUUGUUCUGAAAUUAAUUGAUUACCACUAAUGACAACUGUGGUUGCUUAAAUAGCAAGACCACGUACUCAUAGACUGAAAUAUAAUUGCAUGAAAUAAAAGUAACUAAGAUAGUGCCAGUUCUGUCAUCACAUUUGCACGUCACAUUUGCACGUAAUGUUUCCCACGUAUUAUAUUCAACUGCCAACCAGCAUUCCCCACUCUGAACUCUGGACGUCAUGGCCUGUAUGCACGAUUAAUUACGUGCUGUAAACAUCUUGAAGUAUUUGGCAUUUGGCUUAAGUCCUCUCUUUGAACGACGUGGUCUAUCAAUACCGCCCCCAAUAAGUGGAACCUUGUCCUCAAGGUUCAGAGCCGGAAAUUUCUCCUGUAACAGAGCAGUGGGCUCCCACGUGGCAUCGUCAACAGGCAAAUUUUUCCAUUGAACUAAGCUUUCCGCUACAAGAUGACGUCCCUGUUUGUGCCAGCGAGAAUCCAACAUAGAUUGCGGUUCAAGAAGCAGCUCACCCGCAUCGGUAAUAGGUGGAAUGUCAACUGAUCGUGGUUCAAAAAUGUUGGCUGUAUUCUGGUAGCGCUUUAACAGUGAAACAUGAAACACUGGAUGAAUGCGUGCUUCGGAUGGUAACUGUAAACGAUAGGCGACCUGUCCGAUUUUUUCAACAAUUUGAUAUGGUCCGUAAUAACGAGUAGCCAGCUUGUGAUGGACCCGUUUGAAGACUGACUGUUGGCGAUAUGGAUGCAGUUUGAGAAGCACCCAAUCACCGGCAUGAAAGAUGACAUCCCUCCUCUUUGUGUCAGCAAUCUGUUUCAUGCGAUUCCUCGAUCUAGCUAAGUUAUCCUUCAAUUGACGAAGUAGAGCAUCGCGGUCCAGGAGCUGUUGGUCAACUGCACUUACUGGCGUCAGACCCUCUUUGUAGACAUGAAUAGCUGGAGGUAGGCGUCCAUACAACGCCUGAAAUGGUGUCAUACCAGUUGAAAUAUGGUACGUGGUAUUAUACCAGUACUCUGCCCAAGGUAAAUAAGAACACCACUGCUUUGGCCACUGAUGAACAAAACAUCGUAAAUACUGCUCCACACACCGAUUAAUGACCUCCGUCUGGCCAUCCGUCUAUGGAUGGUAUGCUGAACUGAGUCGAAGCUUGGUGCCUGACAUUUUAAAAACUCUUGCCAGAAAUGACUGAUGAAAAUAGGAUCCCGAUCACUAACAAUGGAUUGCGGCAUUCCAUGGAGCUUAAUAACGCCAUGAACAAAUUUUUCUGCCAUAGUUUUUGCAGUAAAUGGGUGACGUAAAGUGAGAAAAUGAGCAAACUUACUAAGUCUGUCAACAAUCACCAUGAUGGUGUCCCUGCCAUGCGAUAUUGGCAAUCCUUCAAUAAAAUCCAAGGUGAUAUCAUCCCAAACUUGACAUGGAAUAGGCAGUGGUUGAAGAAGUCCCGCUGGAGCCAAUGUCUCUAUCUUGGUCUUUUGGCAAAUCUCACAUUCUUGGACAUAUGUGUGCACUGCUUCAUACAUGCCAGGCCAAUAGAAUUGUUGGUUGAGCUUUUUAAAUGUACGUAGAACUCCGGAAUGACCGCCCACCUUGGUGUUAUGCAUUUCAUGUAGCAGUGUAGCUCGUAAAUUUGCAUCGUUUGGUACCACGACCCUCCCCUUGUAUAAUAAUAGCCCAUCACGCCAUGUAAAUGCACUGUCAGGUUGAGCAUCAAUUUUAUGACCCAUGGACUGAAUGUAUUGGUCCUGUUGUGAGGCUGUCUUAAUCUCUUGCCAGACACUAACCUGCGAAGUAAAAAUGUGAUGUAAAAUUGGACUCCCUUGUUUUCUGGACAAAGCAUCAGCAGCUGAGUUCUCACGGCCUGUGUUGCUACCCAAUUUUUGACCCAUGUUUUUGAUAUAUUUUCAAAAAAAAUCCAAAAAUAGAGAAAAACAAAGAAAAUCAAAAAAAAUAUGUUUUUUUAAUAUAUUUUCGUAAUUUUAGCAUUUUCAACGUCGUCUAAAAAAGAAUUUAAAUUUUUAAGGGUCUUUCGAACGCGUUCGACUUUUCACGCGUUAUUUUUUAAAAUCAUUGAUUUUCCGUAUUUGAGUCGACGUUGAUAUUGCUCGUUUUCAAAAAAAUACAAAAAAACAAGAAAAAUCAAAAUUUUACAAAAAAAGAAAGUUGACCAAUUUUUGAAAACUUGGCAAUAUUUUUUGCCUAUAAAUACUAGUCUUAAACUCACAUUCAAGGAGGGGUUUUCAUUUUUGCAAGGGGGCUAAUUUUGGAAACACCAGAAAAAUAAAAAAUAAAAAAAAACCUAAACCUAUCUUCUCCCCCCACUUUUUUUCAAACAGUCGCCGGCCCCCCUUAGUCCAAGACCAUUAUUUUUCCAGCUGAAAAUCAGCAACUCAGCCCCCACCCAGGUCUUCUUUUCCUGGUUUUCCACCGACAAUGGAGGCCCCUUCUCACACUGAAAACUUGCCAGCCCGAUGAAUUACUAGGUGGCGACUCCAACGAACAAAUUCAAAGCAAACGCAAAAACAAGAAAAAUUGCCAGCCCGAUGCCGCGCGCCGGAUGGAUUUUUUUUGGGGUGCGACAGGAUGGCGACUCCACUGGGGACAAGUAUUGUUUUCAACUUUAUCGGACUAAGCUUUGUGUUUUGAUGUGUUCAAUUUUUUUUGUGCUUUGUUUUAUUUAUUUGUAUUUUAUUCAUGCAUUGUAAAUAUUUUCUCUCAUGCAUCACAAGUUUUAAUUUUUGAAAGCACACACCAGCUUUAGGUUAGGUGGGGGACUAGCAGCUUGCCUUAUGACUUGAGUCAAGGUUUAAGUUUGUGUAAACCCCAACUCUUUGUUGAGUGCUUAGACUGGUAAUAGUUGGACACGUGCCAACCAAUUACCUACUGGGCCCCUAUAUUGUCUUUACGAAGGCGAUCACUGGGACAACAAGAGACCCUUUUAGAGACCAAGUAGCAAACCUACCCUGUCUCACGUAAAAUGAAUAGAGCCUGCUUUAGGAUGUAUGUGCUAUUGUUUGCAUCGAGCAAACCUUCUUGAAGCAUCUUGAACUCAAGACUUGUGGGUGACACAUUGGCCGUUGCUCCGAAAAUUUUCAUUGUAGAGUUUGGGCAAAAAUCACGAUUCUUGUCCAUCAUACAAGAGUUACGACCAUAUUGUCACCUCUCGAAGGGUGAGUUCAUCAUAUAGAUUACAUGUUCAUACAUUUAUCAUGCAUGUACCGGGUUGAAAGGUAGGUCCCCGCACAAGCUGUGCUGCACGUGAUUGAAGAAAUGAUGGAGGUGAAGAAAGUGUCAGAUAGAGGCUCAUUAUCAGAUUAAGUUGAGAGCAUCAAAGGUGAAGUAGCUAGACUCAGAUCUGCUCGAACAAGUGUUGAGCAUCAAAUGGAAAGAGAAUGUCUGCACAGUCUUCUGUGGGAACACUGCUUGUUCACGUCCAAUUGAAGCUGCUCUCCUUUUCAGUCAUGAACAACAACAACAACGCCUUCAGUCAUCAACUAAUGACAACUCUGGUUCUUGUCCAGUUGCACUGUUAAGUGUUCAUCGCCUCCACAUCAUCUAAUGGAACCAAACGACUACUAGCCUCCUGUACAUGGUGCAUUAGUCUGCUUUGAAGUUACCCCGAUUAUGAGCUCAAUUCCAGUUCAGCAGCACAAGAUGGUCUGAAAAACCAUGAUUGAACACUGAACUUCAAUGUGGCAGAGCUCUCUCUACAAAAAUCCAUUUAUGGCUCUGCAAAUUGGGAAUGCAAGAGGGGAUUUAUAAGUUGCAUAUGCUACAAAUAUUUCUCUCAUCAGUUUCAGCACGAAGACCUCUUAGUAGGUUGAAGAGCCAGACCUGGUCUGAAAAAUAUGAGCAGACAUCAAACUUCAACGUAGCAGAGCUCUCUCAGCAGGAAUCUGUUUGUGGAUCCGCAAGUGGGAAAUCCAAGAAGGAAUACAGUAGUUUCAGAUCAUCUAUGAUUUUCCUCCAACAGUGUCAGUAUUAAAACGCAAAAGUAGAGAGAAGAGACAUGCCUAGACUGAAAAACAUGAAGAAUACUGAAACUUCAACAGAGCAGGACUUCCUCUAUAGGUGUUUGUUUGCUGCACUGUCAGUGAGAAAUCGAAGAGGGGACAAAGGAGUUUUAGAUUCAUCAGGUGCUCUUCCAAUAGAGACAAUGUGUGAUUCCACACGUCGGUAGUGGCGAUACUACAAGUUUCUGGGCGCUGCCAAGAUUACCAAGCUGUUGGAAAGUUUUCUAACAAUCCUCAACCAACCACAACAACAUUGGAAGAUUGAAAUGAUGUUGUGAGGAUUUGCCGAAGAAUUGAACAAGCUAUGAAGAGAGCAAAGAUUGAAGGAUCUGCCAUGGAUUCUAGAACAAUGAUGAGAGGUGAAUCAGGAGAUGACUUGACGGUGUGAACCCUUAAUUAUGUGGUAUAGCCAGGUCUCACGGUAGCAUCAAUUGCUCAAAUGUCUUUGCCAAGAUGGGACAUUCCUCUGCCAUUUAAGUUUGUCGACCAGCAUCUGCCAGAUUCCAGAAUUUUGCUUGACUCCGACAAAUCCAUGCAACCACCAUUUUCUAGGUGGUAUAAUCCAGAUAAGAGAUGUGAUGUCAUGGUGGGGUCCUCAACCAUUUCAAGUGAACAGUUUCAAGAAUUGCAAGAAUUGAGUCUGAAAGUUGGUGAGCAAGAGACAAGUGGAGUCGGUGAAGGAGGGUGUCAUUGGCUAUAUUGUCCCCGAACAUCUUCAGAAUGACAUGUUGAUCGAAAGUGCUUGGCAAAACACAAAUAUUGCCAGAAAAGCUGAUUCAAGAAUGGUGAUGAACAGUCAAUCAUAUUGUUUUGGAAUUCUGCAUUUUGUUUUGGGAUCACAUCUCAUCCUUCAACGAAACAUGCCUUGCUUUUGUCUCUUUGUUGUUUUGAAAUCAACAGAUGUUUAACAUUUUUUCUGACAAAAUAUUUUGAUCAAACUCCAACAUGCGAUAAAGGUUAAUCAAUCCUGAAGAUUAAAAGUGUUUUGAUUACAGAAAUGACUCGAUUUUGUUGAAAUGACAUGAGGUGACCAAACAAUUUUGAACUCAUACCUUUGAAACUGAACCACACAUCAUAUAGCUAAGUUUUAGCAGUAUGCAUAAUGACAUGUAGUGGUUUCGGUAGUUAUGGACUCGUGAAUCAUGACUUACAAGUCCAAAUCAUUACACUAGAUGAGGUCAAAAUUUAUCGGUUCUAACCGACCUUGCUUGAAAUGAGAAAAGGCCAUCUUUGAUAUCCUUCACUUUCUAAAAAUUAUCUCCUUGUAGUCCCAUUUUGAGCUGGAUAGAAUAUUUUUUCAAAAAACCCUGACUAGGAUCACACCCCACACUGGGGGCAAAUGAGAAAUAUUUUGGAGACAUGAUAAAAUCAAUGGAUCAAAGAAAAGCUUAGAACAAAAGUCCAAUGUUUGAGAAAGGGCUAGAAGAAGAAAAUCCAUAGAUUGAGGGCCAUCCAAGAAAAACUUUGAGGAAAUGAAAGAAAAUGCCUAUCAAUUCUAAGAGAGGCAAGACAGUUUUCAAUUGAGAAAAGACAAUAAAUGCCAAAAGUCAACACUAGAAAAAUCGAUGCUUCAUAUCUUUUGGUGUGUCUGGAUAAGCCUCUAAUGUCUUCAAAAUUAGAUUAGUUAUUCAUCAAAGAAAAGUUGGAUUAUGACCUAUGUUAAGAGAAUUCUGAUAUUGAAGAUUAACAAGGUUAUAUGUCACUUUCUCUACAAUGACAACAAGAGAAAGAGAAUCGAUGAAUAGUUAAUGUUGGUCCUAGGUCGUUGAAACCCUCAAACACCUUUUGAGCCUUGAAUUCCUUUCUUUCAUAGCCAUGAACCAUAGCCUGCAUUACGUGCUUUUAAAAGCCCUUUUUAAUCAAGCAAGCAAUUGAACCAUAAAUGGCGCUCUCAAAACUUGAAGAGUUUUUCCAUAAGGGUCGUGACUUCAUGAAUUAAGCUACUGGUUAUUAUGCAUGCUGAUAAAAUAAAUGCUAAGAAAAGAAACAACCUUUCUUAUCAAGCCUGAGCAUCUUGUUUUGAAAUUCAUAAAAAUGUCACCUCAUCACAACCAUCAAAAGAUAUACCCAAAAUCAGAGUUUAAAAUGGACACAAAGAACCAUGGGAAAGACAUUUUAAAUCUUACAACGGGUCAUUUCUGUUUUCAAAAUACAAGACAAUCAAAGGACUGCAUUGAAUAGUGUGUUGGGUCUUUGACCAAAGAAGUUUGAAUUUCAAAAGAAAAAAAUAACUUCAAAAACAGACAUCUCUCUGAUUUCAUUUCAACAAUUAUACUUGAAUAGACAUGAUCGUUGAAAUGUUGAGAUUUGAUUCCAGAACAAGAAAGAUUUUCAAACAAGAACAUCAAUUGAGUUUGCAAAAUUCUUGACAAAAAUGACAUCAACAUUUCUCGACACUCCUUGAAACGUUGACCACCUAGGGGCAAUACAGUGGACCUUAAGAAGGAAAGCAAACAGUAUCCAUAUCAGCUGGGGGCAAAGAAAGAAUCCGAUGAUGAGUCGUCAAAGUUAUGUUUAGCAUCUGACAAUGACAAAGAAAAACCUUCUUGAGUAUAAACCGAUGAAUGAACCUUCAGAUCAUACUGGGGCCAAUGUUGUUCAAAGACAAUCCAUGAUCUAGUGCACUUCAGCAGCAAUUGAUGAGCAACGCUGCACUAGAAAGAUAUUUUCAUAUCUUCAUCUUAGGUUACUUUGUAAAACAUGGAUAUGACUCCGGACAGAUGUUAUCGGGUGAGUGCAUUUGAUGAACAUCGAACAUAUGCAUACCACAAGAUUUACGAUGGGACCAUCUAUUCUGAAGCUCAAAUGCGCACUUCACCGCAUGAAUAUGGGUGAUAACAUGAACAUCAUUGAUGAUGCCAAAGCAGUAUUUUCACGAUCUGAUUUGACAAGCUAAGAGGAAUCCAUAGAGAAAUACAUCGCGCUUACAAUGAUGAGCUGUUUACUGCAAAGCAUGAGAUCCAUGUCUGGAUGACUUGGCAGUUCCAUGAAGGCUGGUGACCAUACAUACUUGAAUGGUGUUUCAACCGAAGGCAAGUUCAUGACUGAUUAACAAACGUGAUGGGUGUUGGCAUGAUGCACACAAUCAAUCAGAGGAUAAUUCUCAGAAGAAUCCAGGAGAGAAAAUCUUCAUGAUGAAUCAAGCAUACACACUUGGGGGCAGGGUCAAGCUUGAUGAACGAUGCAAGCAGUAAUUGUCGAAGACAGCCCGGGAUGGGCACUGCAUUUACAGCUGAGUGGAUGGCUACACAUGAAUGAGCCAAUACAUCGGAAGAACAAAGAAAGCUUUGGGAUACAAACAAGGGCACCCUAUGACGAUGGAGCAUCAAAGAGGGGGACCUAUAUUUCAAAUCAGGUAAGGAUGCAUGCAUAUCAUCUAACCUAAAAAAAAAAAAAAACCAUUUGCACAUAUUUUUGAAUUGUUACAGGAAAAUCCUUAAUGAGGUCCAGCAAGAUGGUGGAAAAGAAAGAAGCAUUGUGGUGAUGAUAAUAAAGAAUCGGUUUUGAUCAUGGAAUAAAAGGACGAUGGGAUGAACCCUACCAUUAGGAAAAUCCCAAAGAAAUGAAUAGAUCAACCUUGCAAUCGGGAAGCCUCGAGUUCUCAACCCUUGCAGUCAGGAAACACCGAGUUUUUUUUUCAAACCCUAUGAUCGGGAAUUAUCAGGGAGCACCAAGUUUUCCAGCCCUUCUUCUAUCAUCCCCUCAGGACUUCGCCAGGUAAGUCCUAUUUUUCACACUUGUCAUAUCACAUUUUUUCCAUCUGGGUAGGUCACCCAUUACAAUGAGACCACACUUCAUAUUUUUCCAUUUCUGGGUAGGUCACCCAUUACAAUGAGACCGCACUUCACAUUCUUUCUAUCUGGGUAGGUCGCCCAUCACAACGAGACCACUUCAUCAUAUUUUUUCCAUCUGGGUAGGUCAUCCAUUACAAUGAGACCGCACUUCAUAUUCUUUCUAUUUGGGUAGGUCGCCCAUCACAACGAGACCACUUCAUCAUAUUUUUUCCAUCUGGGUAGGUCACCCAUUACAAUGAGACCGCACUUCACAUUUUUUCUAUCUGGGUAGGUCGCCCAUCACAACGAGACCACUUCAUCACAUUUUUUCCAUCUGGGUAGGUCACCCAUUACAAUGAGACCACAGUUCACAUUUUUUCCAUCUUGGCUAGGUCACCCAUCACAAUGAGACCAUCAUCUUUUCUGGGUAGGUCACCCAAAGAAUGAGACCAUUCUCCAUUUUUUUUACCUGGGUAGGUCACCCAUAAGAAUGAGGCCAUUCCUCUCCCUGGGUAGGUCACCCAAAGAAUGAGACCACUCUUCCUCUUUCCACUUGGGUAGGUCACCCAUCACAAUGAGACCACCAUUUUUUCUGGGUAGGUCACCCAUUAGAAUGAGACCAUUCUCCAUUUUUUUUUUACCUGGGUAGGUCACCCAUAAGAAUGAGGCCAUUCCUCCCCCUGGGUAGGUCACCCAAAGAAUGAGACCACUCUUCCUUUUUCCACUUGGGUAGGUCACCCAUCACAAUGAGACCACCAUUUUUUCUGGGUAGGUCACCCAUUAGAAUGAGACUAUUCUCCAUCUUUUUUUUUACCUGGGUAGGUCACCCAAAGAAUGAGGCCAUUCUUCCCCCUGGGUAGGUCACCCAAAGAAUGAGACCACUCUUCCACCUUUUCACUUGGGUAGGUCACCCAUUAUAAUGAGACCACUUUUUACAUAUUUUUUUGUUCCAGUUGAAUGAGGUCGCCAGAUGGGAUCUCAUGUAGCUUUGGUUAAAGGGAAUCUCCAUAUGGGAUUUCAGAUUGACCGAGUUACACACAUUCUUUGGUUUUGGUUAAAGGAGGUCGCCAGAUGGGAUCUCAGGAUAAUAAAAAAAAAAGAAAAAAAAAAGGGAAGAUUGCUGAUGAAGUGGAUAUUGAGCAAACAGAAAGACAAGUUUUUCUUUACAAAGCUUACUAUGCAAAACAUCGAGGAUUUUUGCUUCGUAAGCAUUCUAAAGAAGGGGCAUCUGUUGCUACCCAAUUUUUGACCUAUGUUUUUGAAAUAUUUUCAAAAAAAAUCCAAAAAUAGAGAAAAACAAAGAAAAUCAAAAAAAUAUGUUUUUUUAAUAUAUUUUCGUAAUUUUAGCAUUUUCAACGUCGUCUAAAAAAGAAUUUAAAUUUUUAAGGGUCUUUCGAACGCGUUCGACUUUUCACGCGUCAUUUUUUAAAAUCAUUGAUUUUCCGUAUUUGAGUCGACGUUGAUAUUGCUCGUUUUAAAAAAAAUACAAAAAAACAAGAAAAAUCAAAAUUUUACAAAAAAAGAAAGUUGACCAAUUUUUGAAAACUUGGCAAUAUUUUUUGCCUAUAAAUACUGGUCUUAAACCCACAUUCAAGGAGGGGUUUUCAUUUUUGCAAGGGGGCUAAUUUUGGAAAUACCAGAAAAAUAAAAAAUAAAAAAAAACCUAAACCUAUCUUCUCCCCCCACUUUUUUUCAAACAGCCGCCGGCCCCCCUUGGUCCAAGACCAUUAUUUUUCCAGCUGAAAAUCAGCAACUCAGCCCCCACCCAGGUCUUCUUUUCCUGGUUUUCCACCGACAAUGGAGGCCCCUUCUCACACUGAAAACUUGUAUUUCUUCUCAUCCCCAGCUUUGCAAAAGAAAAAAAAAUGAUGGGAGCCAUUUUUCGGGUCCCGGCAGUAGGGGGCAGCACCCACAGUCCCCAGUCCCGUUGGAGAUUUUCUUCUUCUCCCCUACAGCCGCUCACCCAAGGGAGCCCCUUAGCUCUUUGAUUUUCUUCCCCCCCUCAGCAGCCGGUUUUCACUACUCCCCUUCAUCACCAUUUUUUUUUUCCUUCUUCCCCAACACAGCCACACCGCCAGCCCUCUCACCCAAUCUCUCCAACACGCAGCCGCCUACACACAGACCCACCCCCCGGCCAUUUUCGUUUCUCUUCUCCCCAACAACAACCACAAAUCAGCUCCCUCCUCCACAGAUCCUCCCUCUCAGCUGCUCCCUUUGCUCUUCGCAGCUCUUGAGCCGGCCACCCUUGGCCACAAAAGAAAAAGCAGCCGCCACCCGAAGACCAGUCUCCGGUGUCCCUCCUCUUCUGCUCCCAGACCGCCGCUGAUCUCCCCACGACCGAAGAACCCAGCUCAGCCCCACGCCGGACAGAGACCAGCGCCGUCCCCCUUGAUCUCUUCCACAACAACCCGGUCGGCAGCGGAUCCAUCCCAUCGCCACAGUAGCUUCAGCGGCCACGGGCGACCUGCAACCGGCAGAGAACCCCCACAGAGAAGAAGGCGAAACCGAGAGGGGGGGGCAGAUCCAAAACGACGAAGGAAGAAAGAACCAAAAACAGAUUUGAAACCAAAGAAAAAUUUAAAAUCUACUGCUGUUUGUGCGUUGUUUCCCUUGUUGUAGGUGGCGGUGACCUCCACCGCCGGCGUGGGAAGACGGAGUAGAAGAAGACAUCCCGGACCCCUGUUCUUUUUUUUGUUUCUCACGGCGGCGCGUGAACCCACGCACCGCCAGUGGCGGUUGCACGUGGGGAGACACGCCGCCAGUGUUGUUCCGUGGUGCAGAUGGGCUUCAAUGCAAUUCUGGAGUUUUUAGGGACCAUUUUGUAAAUUUUAAAGUUUUAAUGUAAUUUUUGUUUAUUUAUUUUAAAUUUGUAAUAGUGAAUGUAAAAGAAAAAGAAGAAAUAAAAGAAAAUAAUAAAAAGAGAUGUGUGCUUGUUUGUAUUUUUAUUUAUGUUAUUAAAUUGUAAAAAUAAAGAAGGAUAAAAAGAAUUAAUUGUUAAUUUAAAUAUCGAUUAAAUAUCUUAAGGAUAAAUAAAAUCAAGUUGUAUUUUCCACGAAAAUGUAAGAACAAGUUUUUUUACAUAUAUUCGGGGAUUCAAUAACUGAUUUAUUCAAGCCUUAGAAUUUAAUUAAUAUUUUAAAUUUUCUUAAAUAUGGUUACAUAUUUCAAGGACAAAUAAAAUCAAGUUGUAUUUUCCAUGAAAAUGUAAGAACAAGUUUUUACAUAUAUUCGGGGAUUUAAUAACUAAUUUAUUCAAGCCUUAGAAUUUAAUUAAUAUUUUAAAUUUUCAAAUCACAUUAGAACACAAUGCAGCUUACCUCAGGUAGGGUGUGUUAGGGGUGCUAAUACCUUCCCUAACCACAACCAGUCCCUUACCCGCGAUCUCUGACAAGACUAGUACAUCAGGUUUCCUAGUAGCCCUCAAUGAAUUACUAGGUGGCGACUCCAACGAACAAAUUCAAAGCAAACGCAAAAACAAGAAUAAUCGCCAGCCCGAUGCCGCGUGCCGGAUGGAUUUUUUUUGGGGUGCGACAGCCUAGACGAUAGAUGAUUUCAUAGUCAUAACCCAUUAGCUUAGCAACCCAUUUCUGCUGUUCUAGAGUAGCUAUCCUCUGUUCUACAAAAUACUUGAGACUACGCUGAUCAGUUUGAAUGUAGAAUUUCUUGCCGAGAAGAUAAGGACGCCACAAUCUGAUAGCUUCCAAAAUUGCCAACAUCUCUUUAGCAUAUGUUGACCAUGAUUUCUUUGUGAUACCGAGGGCCCUGCUCAUGUACGCCAGCGGCUUGCCAAGUUGAGUGAGGACUGCACCUAUGCCAUCUCUAUAAGCAUCGGUGUCAAUGGUAAAUGCUUCGUUGAAAUUAGGCAUGGCCAAUAUGGGAGUAGUUGUCAUGGCCCGCUUGAGAGCAAGGAAAGCGGCUUCAGCUGCAUCAUUCCAUUGAAAUUGAUUCUUUUUGAGCAGAUUGGUAAGAGGCUGAGCAAUAACACCAUAGUUCUGAAUGAAUUUGCGAUAAUAUCUUGUCAAACCAAGAAAACCACGUAAAUCUGAAAACGUUAGUAGGCCGUGACCAUGCCACCAUAGCAGUAAUCUUGCUAUCAUCCACUUUGACACCAUGAUCGGUGAUAAUAUGUCCCAAAUAUUCAAGUUCGUGCUACCCGAAAGCACACUUGCUUUCCUUGACAUAGAACUGAUGCUGGCGUAGUAUUUCAAAUGUCUGUCGGACAUGCAGUAAAUGCUGGUCCCAGGUAGAACUAUAUAUCAAGAUGUCGUAAAAAAAAACCAAAAUAAAUUGACGAAGGUGAUGACGAAAUAUGGAGUUCAUGAUAGCCUAGAACGUAGAGGGCGCAUUACAUAGGCCAAAUGGCAUCACCAAAUAUUAAUAAUGUCCAUUAUGAGUGCGAAAUACAGUUUUAUGGACAUCUUGGGGAUUGACUCGUACCUGAUGAUAACCCGCUCGUAGAUCCAACUUGGUAAAGUAAGAAGCUCCGUAUAAUUCAUCUAACAUAUCCUCAACGGUUGGAAUUGGGAAACGAUCUUUAACAGUGGCAGCAUUGAGAGCUCGAUAAUCAGUACAAAACCUCUAGUUCCCUUCUUUUUUCUUCACUAACAACACAGGUGAUGAAAAGUGACUGGUACUUGGACGAACAAGCCCUGUGGUCAGCAUGUCCUGGACCUGUUUCUCAAUCUCAUUCUUCUGAAAGUGUGCGUACCUGUAUGGCCGAACAUUAACCGGUUCAGUUCCUUCCUUCAACGUGAUUCCAUGGUCAACAACCCUUGUUGGUGGUAAACUAGAAGGAGCAGCAAAUAUAUCUGAAAAUGCUUGCAACAAUUCCUUCAUGUGGGGAUGAACGGUGCCGUCUGAGUAAUUUGAAAACAUAAGGCAAACAAAGCUUGAUUCGGCCGAAGUGUUUGGACAACUCCUGCAGUGAUGUUUCCUGGAUGUCUUGUCUGCCAAUGCCAGUUAAUCGCCUAAGCUUGUUCUCCCAUAAGAAUUCCAUUGUCAGCCUUUUCCAAUCACACAUCACCGAACCCAGUAAUUCAAGCCAUUGAAUCCCCAACACUAUAUCCAGCCCUGUGAGGGGUAAAGAAUAAAGAGUCAAUGAAAAAACAACACCCUGUAGAUUCAAUGAUACCUCGUCAAAUCGCCCCCGACAUUGGAGACUAUCACUAUUGGCAACCUGUACUUUGAAGGGUUCUGUAGGCACCACUGGCAGCCUUAACAGGGUAGCAGUUCGCUCACUAAUGAAGUUGUGAGUAGAACCACUAUCUAUUAAAAUAAUGACGUUGCAGGAGCCAAUCAUAACUGAUACUCGCAUGGUCUUUGGCGCUGUCCAACCUAACAAGGCAUGCAAUGUAAUUGACGGACCUGUAAGCUCCUCAUAUUGCUCAUGAUUUAGGUGUUCGUCAAGAACAUUGUCACAUAACAACGUAUCAGUGUCAUUGCAACCUUCCAACAUAAGUAGGCAUGACCCUUGACACUUGUAACCUGCAGUAAAACGGUCAUUACAAUUGAAACAUAGAUUCUGGGCUCUCCUUCGUUGCAUUUCUUCCCAUGAUAACCGCCUGCUAGGAGUAGUAGGGUUAGACUGUGCGGCUUGGUUGCCAGGCGAAAGAGCCAUAGGUGGCCGCACUGAAGAAACUGGUCUGAUAAACCUCCUCUGACGGGUAAAUUGAUCAUCUUUCAUCCGUGCUAAGCUGAUGGCGUCUUUUAAAGUUUGUGGUUUGAACAUGCGAAUCCCAUCAGAAAUGUCUCUUUUUAAUCCACCCAUAAAUGUUCCCAUAAGAGCUUUUUGGGUCCAACCACGUACAUGAUUGCCAAGACGUUCAAAUUCACGUUGAUAGUCACGCAGCGAUCCUUCCUGACGGAUCCGUGAAAGAGCUUCAUCAAAAUCUUCACAGUCAGAAGGACCAAAUCGAGCCCAGAGUUCACCUUCAAAAUUAAUCCACGAAAGAACACGUCCUUCCUCUUGAAAUGUCCGGCGAAUCCAUUGCCACCACUGGUUGGCCUCUCCUUCCAAGUGAUAGGAAGCUAACGAUACCUUUUGCAUUUCGGGUGUACUUUGGAACUCAAAGAACUGGUUCACCCUAUUAAACCACUCCGUUGGAUCAUCUCCAGAAAAACAUGGAAAUUCAAGCUUCGCUGUUUUAGAAGAGACAACAAGUCGUCCUCCAGUGUGACCGUCACGAUGGGUGUUACCUUGAUUGGUAGACACGUGAUCUGCAAGGAGUACAUCAGAGAGUCGAGUAAUAGUUUCCUCUAAGUGAUGCAAUUUAUCUGUCAUGCCCAUCUCCAUCCGGUGUUCUAACUGUUCGAUACACUCUUUAUUGGUUCCCAUUGCUCUGAUACCAAUGAUAGGUCCCAACACAUAUAAUGAAGUGUUUAAUAAAAAUAAUGCAUUGCUUUCUCUUCAGGUGAGAAUAAACCUUUGUUCUGAAAUUAAUUGAUUACCACUAAUGACAACUGUGGUUGCUUAAAUAGCAAGACCACGUACACAUAGACUGAAAUAUAAUUGCAUGAAAUAAAAGUAACUAAGAUAGUGCCAGUUCUGUCAUCACAUUCGCACGUCACAUUUGCAUGUAAUGUUUCCCACGUAUUAUAUUCAACUGCCAACCAGCAUUCCCCACUCUGAACUCUGGACGUCGUGGCCUGUAUGCACGAUUAAUUACGUGCUGUAAACAUCUUGAAGUAUUUGGCAUUUGGCUUUAAGGCCUCUCUUUGAACGACGUGGUCUAUCAGUUACUGUGUGUGCAAGAAUUUCCAGAUGAUCGACCUACAAUGUUAGAAGUUGUGUUCAUGUUAGGUAAUGAGAUCACUCUUCCUUCUCCUAAGAAGCCAGCAUUUGUUUUACGAACACGCAGUGGACAAGACUUGCCACCAAUGUCUAGAAGAGAAGCUUGUUCUGUAAAUGAAGUUACAGUUACUGUGGUGGAAGCUCGCUGAAAUCCCAGUCUCUUGUAAUAAAUUUUCUCUAACAGGCAUUACAUAGAAGAUGGUUUGACUCAUCAUGGAUGUAUACAUGGCUUGCAAGCAAAACCAUAAAUAAUAAAAAGGAGAAUUUCAUUAUAUAAAUGGUUUUAGACAGUGCCACGUACGUUCUUGAAAAUUAAAAAACAAAAAAAAAAACAAAAAUCUUGGGAGUAGAUGAGAAUUAAAUGCGAAGUUGAUGCCCAGAAAGAGUUUCAAUAAAGACGCCUGUAGGACGGCCCACCUAGGAAAAUCACUCCAUUGGAAGCGUUCACAGGCUGCAAUUUUACAGAAAUUGAUUGUAAAAUUAUAAAAUCAUAAUUAAGAUUUUUCUUAUUGUGUAUAUCUACGCAUGUAGGAUUUUUUUUUUUUUUAUGUUGACAGCGAGGUUGUAAAAAACAAUUUUGGAUAUUACUAGAAAAAUACAAUACAAAUUCAAAAUCAUAGAUUGUAAAAUUAUAAAAUCAUAAUUAAAUUUUUUUAAUUAAUUAUAUAUUGACAAUUCCUCUAUAUUGUCAUAACAGGCCUUGUGUUGUGGUUUAGGAGAAGGCAUUGGGAGACUACGAUGGGAGAAACUGAGAGAGAGAGGGGUUCUGGUUUGGCUUUCUGAAGAUGAUGAGGGGGUGCUGUUCAUGGGUUUUCGAAGAAAGGUGAAGAAGAAGCUGUUGUUGGUGGUUUGAUAUCACUGGUUUUGUUAUGGUGGAGAUGGUUGAGUCUGAGAAGGGAAAUGGUGGAGUCUGAGAAAUUUUCUGUGUUUUGAUUUAUUUUUUUAUCUGCUUCCAACGCUGAAUAUUUUUUUAUCUGCCCCUGGAAAUCUUUGAUCUGCCUCCCCUCUUCUUCUUUUUUUUUCUUUUUGGUUUUUUCCUGUGAGGAAUGUAUUUAUAGUAAAGAGUUUUAAACAAAUAUUUUUUUUAAAAAAAAAUUAUUUAAAAUUUAAAAUUAAAAGAACUCAAAAUAUUCAGAACCUCAUGCAUCAGAGAGUUUCAGUGCAAGCUCUAGACUAGACCGCUGAUCUCUCAAUGAUCAAGAAGCUUCAUUCUCCGUUGAAUCUCAAUCUCUUAGAAAUUAUCCAUUUAACUUUCAUUUAAAAAUAUUUGCCUUAAAAUGACGCUUACUAGUCAAUUGAAUUUUAUUUUUUUUGUGAUACUGAACUUUUGAGCCCAGAAAUUAAGGCGCUUACUUAGUCGAUCAAUUGAAAAUGACAAUACAAAAUAAAAAUCCCGACUCUACUAGAGGUGGUUACUAAUUCCCCAAAGAAUAAGCUGAUCACUAGCCAUCACCAUGCAUCCCUGUAAAAUCACUAGCCAUCAAUUGAAAGUAAGGCGGCUAGUCAAUUGAAAAUCACUAGCCAUCAUCAUGGCUGAUGCAUCCCUGUAAAAUAUUUCUCAUUUCAUUGCUUGAAUGCCUUCUUCUCCAAAUUUUCCUGUCCACAGACAAUGUUAAGUUUUAAUGAGUCUCCAGAGGAGGAAACUUCCCUUCGGGAUAAUCCUAUCAAUGAUACCUCUGGAGUGCUCAGAGUCAAUGGUCAAGAUAACCUCCUCCUAUACGGCAAAAACACCAAGUUAACUAGUCCUGUCUGGUUCACACAUGCUUCAGUCUCAUCACCCAGCAACUCUAUGGCUCAACUUCUAAAUUCAGGAAACCUUGUUCUGACUCAUUCCAAGAGGCAUCAGUCUCAUGGAAAAGUAUUGAUCAUCCUACCAAUACCAUGCUUCUUUUUGCAACACUUGGACGUUUGGAUAGGAAAACUGGUCAACAGGUUUUUAACAUCUUGGAAGUUCCUAAAUGAUUCAGGAACUAGUGAUUUUGCGAGUAUUUAUUUUUAUUAUCAUAUAAUUAAGUAAGAAAUAGUUUAAAAAACAAAGUUAUUAAAUUUAGUGGAGUCCAUGACUCGGUUCACGGGUUAAGAUGCGAAGCCCAACUCGAUUCAAUAUGUCGGUGUCUCAAAAAACAUUUUAUAAAAUGUCAUCUUGAAAUUUGUUUUAAAGUCAAACCAUGUUUUUACAUGUUAUUUGAGUUGCUUUUGAAUACGUAAAGUCGAUUAGGACAUAUUGAGGCAACUUCCACACAAUUUAAUUUGAAACCCCAGUUAAAAGAAAAGUCGAAUCGAAAGGUUUCAUUGUUGACUCACUAAACUGGAUUUAAUAAUAUUGCUAGAAAUUUUCAUGAGGCUUGAAUAUAUUUUUUACAUUAAAAAAAAAUUGAUCCAAGCAAGCUCAACUAAACAUUCCUAACUAUUAAAAUGAAUCUCUUCAUCAUUUAAAGUCAAAGUAGACAAAUAUGCCUCAAUAGUCUCCCAAUUUAAAUCCUCUUUAUCAAGAAAGCUAAGUUCUUCACAAAUCUACUCAUUCAAUAAUUCAAUAUUAUCAAGGCUAAUGAGAUAUAAAGUAUCUUUUUUUUCAUCUUAAAUUCCUACAAAAUACAAACGUAUAGGAAUCUCUCUCCUAAAAUGGUUUAGAAUAUUUCUCACUUGUGGUUCGUGUGAAAUAAUGUUACAGACCAAACAAUUGGACGGCUUGUGAUUUGCGAUAACUCAGCUUUAAGAAACUUUUUCAAAAUAAAUAAAAAAUAUUUAAUCUUCAGGUAAUCUUCGUAUAAAACCUGAAAAACACUAUAUUUAUCUAACAAAAACUUUGGAACUAUCGAAAAAUCUUAAAUUUAUUAUUUACGCUGCCUGUAUGCGUUUUGGGAAACCCAACACAUUCACCAUUUUCUUGUUGUCUUUGCAUGUCAUUGUGUCAUACAUAUUUGAAAUAGUUAUAGCAAGGAAUUGAAAACUAUUUGGGAAUGUAUAGAAGCCAACUAGGGUGCUAUAUGUGUCGGGAUUGUCUUACAUCGAAUUUGUUUUCAAGAAUCAAUAACAUUUUCGUAUCUCACUAGUGAUUUAACAAACUAAAAAUCGACAAGAUUUUUCUUUUAAUACGCAAUCAGCUCACAAGAGUUGUGCAAACUUGGGACCAAAACAAAUCUCACCAGAAAAAAGCAACUAGCAAGAUAGAUAUCUUUUUGUCACAAAACCAAAAUUAACUUAUAUUUUCUUUUUUGCUUGAUCCAUUGCUUUAUAUAUUAAACUCAUAAUUGGUUUCUUAUAUGAAUCAACUAAUUUAAGAACUUUAAUUAGAGGAUAUGUUGCUUUAAUACAUAUAGUGACAUCAUGCUAGAACCUACUAUCCAAAACAUAGUUUUGAAUUUGUUUCCCUUCUUCAAUUCUUGAAAACCUACAUGACCUUCACUAUUUAGAAGUAAACAUAGGCAUUAGCUGUAUUUUAUGAUCAAUCAAACAUCCUAGAAUCAAAUAUGCAGUAGCAAAUCGAGCAGCAGCAGCCCUAAUCAAAUCCUAUCCUUUUGUAAAGUGCCUUAGGAUGAAAAUAAGUAUAGUACUUGAAUAAAUAUAUGAGGUGACUCUCAUUCGCUUAGCAAUAGUUACUUGAUAAACCUCUAGCUUCUUCUCAAAAAUUUUCAAUGUCAAGUCAAUACAAGAAGCAUCACAUGGUGUCCAAAAUAGCUUUUUUUAUUUUUUCCAAUCAAUAAUUGUCCUGUUGCCUUAUAAUUUGCAGCGUUAUUGGUCAUUACUUACACAACAUUUUCCUAUAUUUAGUUCUAAAAGUGCUGGUUUUGUUAAUUAGAAAGGCCAUAAAAUUUCUUGAAAAUGAAAAUAGUUGGUAAAUUCAAAAUUCAUGAAUCCUUUGAUUUUGUUCUAUUUUAAUUUCUAUUAACCAAUGGCAGAUUGCAUAUUGUAGUGAUGGUUUGUUUAAAAUUUGGAACAUUGGAAAGACUUUAAGAAACAGAGGCUAGGAUGUUAGGUUUUUGAUUUUGUGGUGCAGUUACUGUAUUAUAUAUAUAUAUAACUGGGUUUAAAAUCGUGAUUUUACAUGAUUUUAAAGAUUUAAUAUGAUUUUAUCACUUUUUAAAUUUUAAAAUUGAUUUGAUAUAAUAAAUAUAUUGACUUAUAUAAUUUUACAAGUUAACUCGUAGUAUCGUUAUGGCCUUUCAAGUGGUCAUUUAAUACACGGCUGGCUCCCCUGAGCAACCCUAAUAAUCGGUCAAGAAAAAUUCUAUGAAGCGUUAGUAGUUGGCUUUUUGGCUCCAAUCAUUAAAACCCCAACUGCACUACCAAGUCAUUUACUCACCCCACCAACACACAAUCAUUGAAACAAAUUAUGAAUCCUAUAGAAAGGUUUUUGAGUAUAUUGUUUCUCUUCCUUGUUUUUCCUUCUUGCUUAUCUAUUGACAUCAUAGCUCCAAACCAGUCAAUCAAAGAUGGAGAUGUUCUGGUCUCUAGUGGACAAAGCUAUGAACUCGGGUUCUUUAGCUCAGGCAUCAAUCCUACUCGUCGUUAUGUGGGAAUUUGGUACCAUAGUACUAAGGUUUCAGAACCAACUGUUGUAUGGGUGGCAAAUAGAGAUAAUCCUAUCAAUGGUACCUCCGGAGUCCUAGCUAUCAACAAACAAGGUAACCUUGUAAUUUAUGAAAAUAACCGAAGUAGUGUUCCUGUUUGGUCUUCAAAUGCUCCAGCCUCAAUAUCAAUGACAAAUUGCACGGCUCAGCUCCUGGAUUCAGGAAACUUGGUCUUAGUUCAACAGGAUAGCAAAGGGAUCUUGUGGCAGAGUUUUGAUCAUGGUACAGAUACUCUGCUUCCUGGUAUGAAGGUUGGGCUGGACCUGAAAAUCGGUUUGAACCGGUCUCUGUCAUCUUGGAAGUCCAAAGAUGACCCGGGAACCGGAACCAUUUUUUCUAUGGUAUUGAUCCAAGGGGGUUUCCCCAGUUGUUCCUAUACAAGGGUCAAAUCCCAUGGUGGCGUAGCGGACCAUGGACUGGAC